ensembl:lncRNA
ACGCGCCCCGACUCCCCGUAUGCCAGCGACACURCUGCUGCACGUCUGUGGAUAGGGGAGCUCUCAUGUUUAAAGUAAAUGAAAUACGGCCAUACCAACAGCGCACAGCUACUGGUCCCUACGGCAGACCUUAAUUUCUCAUCAGUCAGCUUCAUCUUUAAGUGGUUUAGCCUCAGAUGAUGGAGCAAGGCAGGGCAUUUUCAGGAAGGAAAGGCUAGGGCUCUGCGCCGUGUCAUCGCUUCCGUUUGCUGCUUUUUGCUGAGCGUUAUCUAGAGUUGGGGAAGAAAGCAAGCGAAACGGACAGACACACUGGUCUCCUGCCCGCGGAAGGGAAUGUACGUCCUAAUGGUCUUGUCUUUUCUAGGAGAAAUAACAGGCGAGACUUUCUUUCGCCAACAAGAACAUGGAAAUCUUGUACUUCAGUGCAAUCAGCCAGCUGCUAAAGAAAAUAAGAGAAUAGAUUGGUAUAAGACAGCAAGUGAUAUGCAACGAUUCGAGUUAAUUAAUUGCCCUUCCAAGUGUAAUCACUUGUGUACAGAAGCAGCUUGCAAUGAUACCUUAGAGGUGACACACGCUUCAUCUGAUGGGAUGAUGUUUGCAUGUGCAGCAGUUUCAAGCGAUGAAGCACCGGUGACUUCCCUACUGUUCACCAACGAGUCUCACUGCAGGCACUACAGCUUCUUUCUUGCACAGACUAACACCGAAUCAGGGGAAAAGCGCUCAGGCAAUGUUCAGGAAAAAUCACAAGUCUCUCUCACGUUCAAAGAAAAAGAUAACAUCACCCUGCCUUGUGAAUUUUACAUUAACUGCUCAGGAUACUGUUUUUUCAUGUACUGGAUCAGAGUCAGUAAAACAAGUGAAUGCCUUUUUUCUGCUGCAAACGAAGCCCUGUCCCCGAGCCUGGCUUUCAACGAGCACUGCUGUGCCGAUGGAGACGUCCAGGAACGCCUGCUGCACACCACGAACUUCAGCCCCGCUCACAAAACACACAACAUGACUAUUCUGAACGUCACGAGUGCUGACAGCGGGGAAUAUUUAUGCGUUGUUGCUGCCUGGCAUCAGGGUAGACUUGAGUGGCAAGUUCCUACCAACUGGUCGGUGGAUGUUCAGAAGGACAGAGCGGCACGUAAGCUGAAACCGCGUUCCUAACGGCCUCUAGCUUCUAGCGGGAACAUCUGCACUCGUCUGGGAAAGUUGCCCUCGUUUGGUGUAAACACUGUGCUCUGGCACUGCAGCAAGCCACACAAAAUCCUACAUCCUGAUAAUGUGAUCAACACAUUGCAAUUCAUUUUARAAAUCAUUCAUUCUCUAAGAUUAUUCAUAUUCCAGGGAAUUAAUCACUCUUUAAAUAAUUUAAAAGAGAAAGAGUAACUCUACAUCACGAAGUGGCAGUGUGUCAGGGACCAUUUGGCCGUUAUUUCACGUAGAAUGCUUUGUGGAUGAUCAUUAAUCGUAUCACAUAUACAAUUAACUCCGUAUUUGCAAUAAGGCUGUUUGCAAAUAAAGGAAAAUGAACGACAGUGUAAAUGGUUUAC